GUAAUGCUUCUAGGUCAUGUUGAUCCAUGUAAUUCAAAAUUAUAAGUAUAUAUAGCAGUGCUGUACCAUCAGUUGCUUUUCUCCCUCCAUUUCUCUCCUGCAUUUUAAUGCUUUUAAUAUUUUACAUGAAUUUGUUUUAUGAUGUCAUAUUCACCAAUAGAGCUUUUCUUUACCUCCCUUGUUAUUGAAUCUAUUUCAGUUUGUUUUGUUAGUAUGUUAAUGUAUGCCUUGUAUCUUGAAAUUUUUAUGGUAAAAAUUAGAUUAUAACUUCUUGAAUGAUGAUUUUAAUAUCAUGAAUGACAUGAUGGUGGUUAUGUUAUAUUAUUUAUUUAUUUACCUCGAAAUGCUCAUUUGUACAGUGUAAGAAUGUAAUUAGCAAAUU
rnacentral:misc_RNA from 1 species